GUGACGUCAGAGUCUGAUGAGGCUGACGUACCUGCGUGAUUCUUGCGGUUUUCCGGUUGUAUCCACGUGGUUGAACGCACUUAUUGCAGGUCUGUGGUCGUCCGAGCCCGACUGGGGCCUCUCUCUCUCUCUCUCUCUCUGUAAGAUGAUCAGCUGGAGAUGAACCUCGCUCGACCUGCACUUAACACAGAAGAUGGGACCAUGGGAUAGCUCUCUCGCUCUUUGUCCAUUAAAUAAAACCAUUAGAAGACACAGAUCUUAUCUGAAACAGCAGCUAUGAAGGAUCAGUGGAUCUCCACGUAAAAAGACUUGUGUAAAUAAAGAGCUAACGUUUGUUUGUUUUGAAUAAAGUGUUUUUUUCUGAAUAUGUAGGACAUUUACGGAGAAAAACCUCUGGACUGCUGCUUUACUGUAUGAAGCAGCAGGGACAUUUCUGUAAUGAACGUUUUCUCUCGCUCGAUGAUGUGCGUUUAUGUUUUACAGGAAGUACUGUAGGGUGGACUGUAAAGAAGGAAAAACUAUGACAACAAUGUCUAACACGGAAAAGGUUUUCUUGUUAAUGUGUAGGUAUCUAAAACGAAAGUAGUUAAAGUACAUCAAGCGGCUAAAAGAUAUUAGGUAGCUAAAGGUCAAGUAGCUAAAGGAUGCUAGGGAACUGAAACUAAGGUAAAGACAGAUAAAGACAUCUCGUAGCUAAAGCUAAGCAGCUGUAAGACAUUAACGCUAAGUAGCUAGAGCUAAAGUAGCAAAAAGACACCAGGUAGCUAAAGCUAAAGUUGUUAAACACAUCAGGUAGCUAUAGUAGCUAAAGGAUGUUAGAUACCUCAAGCUACAAAAAAGUAGCUAGCGAGUGUUUGGCAACUAAAGCUAAAGUAGGCCUAACUAAAGGACAUCAAAUAGUUAAAGUUAAAGCAGCUAAAGGACAUUAAGUAGCUAAAGCUAAAGUAACUAAAGGCUAUUAUGUAGCUACAUGACUUAAGAAAAGAGAUACCAAAUUCUAAAGUAGUUUAAGGUGAUCAAGAAUCUUUAGCUACAGUAGGAUGUUACGUAGCUGAAGCUAAAGUAGCUAAAGAAUGAUUGGUAGCUAAAGCUAAAGUAGGUAAAAUAUGCUAGGUAGCUAAAGCUGAAGUUGUUUCAGGGCAUCAGUUAGCUAAAGUUAAAGGAGCUUAAUUAUAGGCUAUCAGGUAGCUAAAGCUAAAGUAAAUAAAGGAUAGGUAGCUAAAGCUUAAGUAACCCUGGGACAUCAGUUAGCUAAAGCUAAAGCAGCUGAAUAAUAUAUGGUAGCUAAAGCUAAAUUAGUUAAAGGAUAUUAAGUAGCUAAAGAUAAAGUGGCUAAAGGGCAUUAAGUCAGCGCUGCUAACUUCUCAGUUUAGUUUGGGGUGAGAUUCGGUGAAGCCAGUGCCUUUUCUGAGCCGGCCUUCUGUCACAUUACCCACCGCAGGGGUCGGGGCCAUCACUCCUCAACCCCCAGGAAUGUUGUUUACAAAGUUCAGCAGCUAAAUUCAUAAUUUUAAAGCAUGUAUAGGUGAAAAGCCAAGUCAAUAAUCACGGUCAACGAUGAAUUAAGUAUGGUUGAUCAGCACACUUGCCAACCUCCAGACAUCGUAGCCUGAAUCAGGAGACCAAACCGGUCUGGGGAUCUUCCCUCAGGAGAAUCGCGCAAUCAAAAUCUGGAGGUCUGCAGCGUGAACGCACGUCAUCCGUACACUUUCUGACGUACAGCCAAUCGUAAUGUGUUAAUGUGUUACGUCGUCUGUAAAUGCAGGACCCCGAGCGGAUCUGCCAGGCUGAGCACAUCUGGUACCUACACCGGCGUACGCUGGCGUCGCAUCAGCUGGGUGGAGUUUGUGCCGCAAAGUUAUCAGAGAAAACGGACAUGUGGCGUGAGAGUGCGUGAAAAGCGUUAUUUUUCCGCAAGCACUCCCUCUGAUUGGCUAGUACUCGUUGAUUCUAUUGGUUAGGAUGGGGGUAGGGAUAGCCAAUCAGAGGCAGAGUAGGGGCGGGACUUAAGACACCAGGUAGCUAAAAGGAAAAUAGUGAAAGGGUAUUAAGUAGCUAAAGCUAAAAUAGCUAAGGACAUCAGGCUAUCUAAUAUAAAGUAGAGAGGUCAGGUAGCUAAAGCUAAGGUAACUAAAUGAUGUUUGACAGCUAGGAUAUUAGGUAGCUAAAGCUAAAGUAGCUAAGGGACGUCAGGUGGCUAAAGCUAAGGUAACUAAAUGAUGUUUGACAGCUAGGAUAUUAGGUAGCUAAAGCUAAAGUAGCUAAGGGACGUCAGGUGGCUAAAGCUAAAAUACAAAGAAGCAGCGGUGGUCCUGCAGGUUUCUGCUCCAGUUAAGCAGAGCUGAAAGAGGAGGCAGCUCACAGUAUCAGUGUCACUCUGCCUGGAGCGGCUCUCUUCAUCCGGCCUCUGUGCUCCGACACACUGGGACCAGUGCCAGCGCUGGAGGACAUGCUGGUUUUAGCAGCUGGAAGAUGUCCUGACAAGUAUGUACAGCAACGGAGAAACAAGUCGACAAGCUGACGGUCUGUCAGACGAUGUUUGCCAGCGGAAGAGAAGAGAUGGCCGGAGCACCGUCGGCCGUUUCAAAGCCGCAAGAUAAUCGAUGCAGUCGCUGUUUGCCAAUAUGACCUCAAACAGCAGAGGAUGAUGGGUAAUCCUGUGAAGCUGACGAAUAAACAAACACGAGGUCCGGUCCAUCAUCUACUGCAUCUAUCAGAUAAUCAAGAUCUGGGUGAACAGAUUGGACAGAGCCAUGCUAGCUGUUUCCCCCUGUUUCCAGUCUUUAUGCUAAGCUAACAGGCUGCUGGCUGGAGCUUCAUAUUUAGCAUACAGACAUGAGAGUGGUGGAAUGUAACUAAGUACAUUUACUUAACUACUGUACUUAAUCUACUUUCCUUGAGUAUUUCAAUUUCAUACUACUUUAUAUUUUACUCCAUUACAGAGGGAAAUGUUUAUAUAUAUAUAUAAUAUACUUUUUACUCCACUGCAUUUAUCUGACAGCUGAUGGAGUUACUUUA